CCUUGUCUCCAAUUAAAAAAAAAAAAUAGCUGGGCAUGGUGGCUCACACCUGUAAUCCUAGCACUUUGGGAGGCCAAGGUGGGUGGAUUGCCUGAGCUCAGGAGUUCGAGACCAGCCUGGGCAACACGGUGAAACCCCAUCUCUACGAAAACAAAAAUUACUUAGAAAAUAUUAAAUAGAUAUAUCACUGCAUUAAAAAUAUUUCAUAAAUAUAUGAAGAGAUCAAACCAUAAAAUUUCCUUAAAUCUAUUACAUCUCACAGGCAUAUUAAACAUAGCAGCGUUCUAUGGCCCUAAUCCUUUCCUGUACAUGGUGUACUGAUUUUUUUUUUAAUUGUACCUACACACCAAGUGUAAUUGGUAUAGUCUGGCAGGACCAAUAGGUCAUACUGUCCCCAUACAUACGGUCCUCCCAGAUCUUCUGCUAUUUUAAGCAUAGAUUCAGUCUGAAAAAUCAACAUAUAUAUGUCUGUAUGCCUUAAUUAUCACCAUUGUACAUUUCUUAAAAUUGUAUAUUGCUUUCUAUGAAGGUUACAAGUUAAUGAUUUUUAUGUUCCCGAUUAAUUUUUUAUUUUUUUGUAGAGACAUGAUCUCACUUAUGUUGCCCGGCCUGGUCUUGAACUCCUGGGCUCAAGCGAUCCUCCCACUUUGGCCUCCCAAAGUGACGGGAUUACAGGCAUGUAGCAAUUGUUUUUAGCACUUCCUAUAUCCCAGGCCCUCUUCUACGCACUUUAAAUGUAUUAACACAUUUCAAUUAAUCCUGGCAACAGCCUGAGAGGUAGGUACUAUUACUAUUCCCAUUUUACAGAUGGUGAACUGAAGCAUGGUGCAAUUAAGUAAGCAGCCAAGAUUCAACCGGAAUUCAAACCAAGCAAUCAGGCUCCACCCCUCCUGCCAAUGAAACAGAAGAAAGUUAAGUCUUCUGGUAUGUUUUGAUGAAGACUUUUGCUUUCCUUGCAAAGGAAGUAGACACUGUUGUUCUCUUGUUUCCUUCUUUCUACCUUGACUGCUGUGACCUUCUUGUGACCAUGAGUGACAAGCGUUAUGG
rnacentral:lncRNA from 1 species